UGGGGAAUCUUGCACAAUGGGCGAAAGCCUGAUGCAGCAACGCCGCGUGCGGGAAGAAGGCCCUCGGGUUGUAAACCGCUUUCAGAAGGAACGAAACUGACGGUACUUUCAGAAGAAGGUGCGGCCAACUACGUGCCAGCAGCCGCGGUGACACGUAGGCACCAAGCGUUGUCCGGAUUUAUUGGGCGUAAAGAGCUCGUAGGCGGUUCAGUAAGUCGGGUGUGAAAACUUUGGGCUUAACCCAAAGCGUGCAUCCGAUACUGCUGUGACUUGAGUACGGUAGGGGAGCGGGGAAUUCCUAGUGUAGCGGUGAAAUGCGCAGAUAUUAGGAGGAACACUGGUGGCGAAGGCGCCGCUCUGGGCCGAAACUGACGCUGAGGAGCGAAAGCAUGGGUAGCAAACAGGAUUAGAUACCCCGGUAGUCCCUGAGCGGGCUGGCAAGGCGCAU
rnacentral:rRNA from 1 species